ACCCAGACUCCUACGGGAGGCAGCAGUGGGGAAUAUUGCACAAUGGGGGAAACCCUGAUGCAGCGACGCCGCGUGAGUGAAGAAGUAUUUCGGUAUGUAAAGCUCUAUCAGCAGGGAAGAAAAUGACGGUACCUGAUUAAGAAGCCCCGGCUAACUACGUGCCAGCAGCCGCGGUAAUACGUAGGGGGCAAGCGUUAUCCGGAUUUACUGGGUGUAAAGGGAGCGUAGACGGCAGCACAAGUCUGGAGUGAAAUGCCGGGGCUUAACCCCGGGACUGCUUUGGAAACUUUGUAGCUAGAGUGCUGGAGAGGCAAGCGGAAUUCCUAGUGUAGCGGUGAAAUGCGUAGAUAUUAGGAAGAACACCAGUGGCGAAGGCGGCUUGCUGGACAGUAACUGACGUUGAGGCUCGAAAGCGUGGGGAGCAAACAGGAUUAGAUACCCGGGUAGA
rnacentral:rRNA from 1 species